CAGUAGCCGCGGUAAUACGAAGGGGGCUAGCGUUGUUCGGAAUUACUGGGCGUAAAGCGCACGUAGGCGGACAUUUAAGUCAGGGGUGAAAUCCCGGGGCUCAACCCCGGAACUGCCUUUGAUACUGGGUAUCUUGAGUAUGGAAGAGGUUAGUGGAAUUGCGAGUGUAGAGGUGAAAUUCGUAGAUAUUCGCAGGAACACCAGUGGCGAAGGCGGCUAACUGGUCCAUAACUGACGCUGAGGUGCGAAAGCGUGGGGAGCAAACAGGAUUAGAUACCCGCGUAGUCCCUGUCUCUUAUAC
rnacentral:rRNA from 1 species